CCUACGGGAGGCAGCAGUGAGGAAUAUUGGUCAAUGGGCGCGAGCCUGAACCAGCCAAGUCGCGUGAGGGAAGACGGUCCUAUGGAUUGUAAACCUCUUUUGUCGGGGAGCAAAAGACGCCACGCGUGGCGUUCCGAGAGUACCCGAAGAAAAAGCAUCGGCUAACUCCGUGCCAGCAGCCGCGGUAAUACGGGGGAGGCGAGCGUUAUCCGGAUUUUAUGGGUUUAAAGGGUGCGCAGGCGGAAGAUCAAGUCAGCGGUAAAAUUGAGAGGCUCAACCUCGUCGAGCCGUUGAAACUGGUUUUCUUGAGUGAGUGAGAGGUAUGCGGAAUGCGUGGUGUAGCGGUGAAAUGCAUAGAUAUCACGCAGAACUCCGAUUGCGAAGGCAGCAUACCGGCGCUCAACUGACGCUCAUGCACGAAAGUGUGGGUAGCGAACAGGAUUAGAUACCCGAGUAGUC
rnacentral:rRNA from 1 species